GCUGUCUUAGCUCAGUUGGUAGAGCACAUCCUUGGUAAGGAUGAGGUCGUCGGUUCAAAUCCGAUAGACAGCUCCA
rnacentral:tRNA from 1 species